rnacentral:rRNA from 1 species
AACGAACGCUGGCGGCAUGCCUUACACAUGCAAGUCGAACGGUAACAGGGAGCUUGCUCCGCUGACGAGUGGCGAACGGGUGAGUAAUGCAUCGGGACGUGCCCAGUCGUGGGGGAUAACGCAGCGAAAGUUGUGCUAAUACCGCAUACGUCCUGAGGGAGAAAGCAGGGGAUCUUCGGACCUUGUGCGAUUGGAGCGGCCGAUGUCAGAUUAGCUAGUUGGUGAGGUAAAGGCUCACCAAGGCGACGAUCUUUAGCUGGUCUGAGAGGAUGAUCAGCCACACUGGAACUGAGACACGGUCCAGACUCCUACGGGAGGCAGCAGUGUGGAAUUUUGGACAAUGGGCGCAAGCCUGAUCCAGCCAUGCCGCGUGAGUGAAGAAGGCCUUCGGGUUGUAAAGCUCUUUCGGCCGGGAAAAAAUCGCAAAGGCUAAUAUCCUUUGUGGAUGAUGGUACCGGAAUAAGAAGCACCGGCUAACUACGUGCCAGCCGCCGCAGUAACAC